GUGAGUUCAAAGUUUGCCUGGUCUAU
rnacentral:piRNA from 1 species